AUUGAACGCUGGCUGCAGGCCUAACACAUGCAAGUCGAACGAGUGGCGGACGGGUGAGUAAUGUCUGGGAAACUGCCUGAUGGCGGGGGAUAACUACUGGAAACGGUAGCUAAUACCGCAUACCAUCAGAUGUGCCCAGAUGGGAUUAGCUAGUAGGUGGGGUAACGGCUCACCUAGGCGACGAUCCCUAGAUGGUCUGAGAGGAUGACCAGCCACACGGGAACUGAGACACGGUACAGAGGCCUACGGGAGGCAGCAGUGGGGAAUAUGGCACAAUGGGCGCAAGACUGAUGCAGCCAGGCCGCGUGUAUGAAGGAGGACUUCGGGUUGUAAAGUACUUUCGGCGGGGAGGCGUUACCCGCAGAAGAAGCACCGGCUAACUCCGUGCCAGCAGCCGCGGUAAUUC
rnacentral:rRNA from 1 species